CCUACGGGAGGCAGCAGUGGGGAAUAUUGGACAAUGGGGGGAACCCUGAUCCAGCCAUGCCGCGUGUGUGAAGAAGGCCCUCGGGUUGUAAAGCACUUUCAGUGAGGAAGAACGCCUGGUGGUUAAUACCCAUCAGGAAAGACAUCACUCACAGAAGAAGCACCGGCUAACUCCGUGCCAGCAGCCGCGGUAAUACGGAGGGUGCGAGCGUUAAUCGGAAUUACUGGGCGUAAAGCGCGCGUAGGUGGCUUGAUAAGCCGGUUGUGAAAGCCCCGGGCUCAACCUGGGAACGGCAUCCGGAACUGUCAAGCUAGAGUGCAGGAGAGGAAGGUAGAAUUCCCGGUGUAGCGGUGAAAUGCGUAGAGAUCGGGAGGAAUACCAGUGGCGAAGGCGGCCUUCUGGACUGACACUGACACUGAGGUGCGAAAACGUGGGUAGCAAACAGGAUUAGAUACCCCAGUAGUC
rnacentral:rRNA from 1 species